CGCAAAAUCAAACUUUAUCAACUACAGGGCGCAAGUAAUGCCUAAUCUGUUUGAGAUGCUCUGUGCCAGGAUCGAGGCUAGCUGAGGCGGCAAAGUAGCCUUGUCCCUGAAUUUAAGCUAGUGUGCAGGCCGUGUCCGAGCCCAGCUCAGCUGAUCAGCGUGACCUCGGAGGAGCUGCUUGCCAUCUUCACCAGUGUGCUGGGGCGCUCGCCCUUUCUCCUUGUUGUUUCCCAUCACGACGUGGCCGGAAUGAGAGUAGCGCCUUCUCCGCCUCCAGGAUGUAAUCUGAGGGGGCUGACUGAGGUCUCUGGGGGGCUUGUUUGGGCCGGAACAUCCGAAACGGCUCACCCAGGUGGCAGGCGGCCCAGAGCGAUUCAUUGGAACAACUCGCUUCUCCCCACGUGCCCUGAGUUUGGCUCGGGCUUCUCCCAGCAUGGCAGCUGGCUUCCAAGAGGAAGCCUCCCAGAGCAAGUCGUCUACAAGGAAGGAAAUGGAAGUUGCCAAGCCUCCUAACCCUGGGCUGGGAAAUCCUAGAAUGCCGCUUCUGGUCAAAACCAGUCAGGGGUCAGUCCAGGUUCAAAGGGAAGGGAAACAGCCCUCCCUUUGGAGGGGAAGAGCCGCCUGCGCAUAUACAGAGGGCGAGUAUUGUUUGGGAUCGCCUUGGGAAACUAGCUCCCGCCACAGAGUAGAGCGCCUGGCCUCACCUGGGUAGGUGCACCGUCAGGGGAGGGUCACCACAUCUUAGCACAUCGGCCCCUCUUGCAAGGCUGGCCCUCCUUCCUAGUGGACCACCCGCUCUGUGGUCCUGGCAGUGAGAACGGCUGAAACUAAGCAGGAGCUGGGAAUUAGGGCCGUGAAGAAAUGCAGAAACAAGGGAAGUGCAGUUAAACGGGAAGAGAAAUGACUUUCAUUCAGGGGUCAGCGUCCUUGCUCCUCCUCAAGGGAUAUACGUGAUAGUACAUCAUCGGACGCGGAUCUCCGAGUUGUUCUGCAGGAACUGAGACUCCCCCACCCAGGGGGAUGGUGAACCCUAGCAGGCAGACCCCGCACCCGACGGAGGAGGACGAUUCCUGAAACAUCACCCUGUUACUUCAUCACCAAGCAAUCAGAAGAACGUCGUGCACCCUGCAGCCCUCCCCCUAAAGGCUGCUUUGAAAAACCUUUCCCUGAAUGCCCUCGGGGCGUUCAGGUUUUUUGAGCUUGAGCCACCCGUACCCCAUGCUUGGCGCCCUGCAAAUAAACACCCUACGUUCCUUCAUCACAACCCCCUCUCAGUCAAUUGGCUUUGCGGCACGCUGGCAAGCCGACCAAGUUCAGUUCGGUAAAACUUCCCUUAAACAUUUGAUAAACUGCUGUUGAAGUCCUUCUUCAGAGUCGUCUUGUCUGUGUAACUGCACCAGUCACGUUUUCCCAUCCGCUCUGGCAAGGAAGGUCUCUAGUAUCAGCCCUGGUCCCCCUUCCUUUUCUUGCUCUAGACUAAGACCCAAAUAAACUCUUGGUAACUCUCUG